CUGGCACUCCUGAGUCCCCUCCCCGACCCCGUUGGCCUUAUAUAACUCAUUUCCAAAUCAGUUCCCCUCGCAGAUGGUUUUUUAGCAUAGUCCACCAUCUUUCAGUUAGCUAGCUCAUUGCUUAAGUGAAAUUUUCUCUCUCCACCGCCUUGCCUCUUGACAGAUUGGCUUUUGUCUUGCGGAGAGCAGGUCAAGCCCUUGCUUGGUAUCACUUUUAUUUUCUCAUUUAGAUUUUUCCGCAGGUUAUAAUCCUGCAACGUUAUUGCUGGCACCUUCACAAAUCGCUGUGAUGGAGGGUUAUGGUUGGGGAGCAGGCCGAGCCCUCCCAUUGUCCAUCUGCUCCCCUAACCUCUACCCCAGAUGUUCAUAUUUUCUGCUCCCAUCCCCACACGCCACAUUCCCACCUUCUGGGUCUACUCCCCAGGGAGCUGGUUUCAGCAGAAAAAAGAGCAAAUCUCAGCAGCCCCUUCCAAAUUGUGGGAGUGCCUGGGAGGGAAUUAAGCCUUGUCAAAACUUCCAAAAUUCAAACCAGGAAGAACCUGGCUGAGGAAACCUGGGUGGAUGGGAAUUCAGUUGUGCAGUUUCUCCUGGAUAGGAGGAGGUCUUGGAGUGGCAUCUGUCGGCCUUGAUGAUGGGAGAAGGCUGGAAGAUGUCCGGUGGCACCAGCAGCUGCAGAAGCUCCUCCUACAGAGAUGAACGUGUCAACGACAACCAGUGCAGGGGCUUUUUCAAGUGUUGCGAGGUCCUGUGUAGGAGGAAAUGUGUUUAUCCCACAGCAGACAGAUUGAUGCCAGUGUGAUGAAGCUGAGGAUUCCUGGUGUCCAGGGAGUCCACUUCCCACACAAGCCUGAGGUAUCCGCAGUCCCCGCUGAAGCCUUGGUGCUGCCACGGAUGCUUCCUCUGUGCCCGGUCCUUUGUGUAUUCCUGGCACCCAGAAAAGGGCUGGGCACAGAAAAUGUGUUUUGACCAGAGAACAAAUAAAAGCACACGCUUCUGUCG
ensembl:lncRNA